UGGGGAAUAUUGCACAAUGGGCGCAAGCCUGAUGCAGCCAUGCCGCGUGUGUGAAGAAGGCCUUCGGGUUGUAAAGCACUUUCAGCGAGGAGGAAGGGUAGUGUGUUAAUAGCACAUUGCAUUGACGUUACUCGCAGAAGAAGCACCGGCUAACUCCGUGCCAGCAGCCGCGGUAAUACGGAGGGUGCAAGCGUUAAUCGGAAUUACUGGGCGUAAAGCGCACGCAGGCGGUUUGUUAAGUCAGAUGUGAAAUCCCCGCGCUUAACGUGGGAACUGCAGUUGAAACUGGCAAGCUAGAGUCUUGUAGAGGGGGGUAGAAUUCCAGGUGUAGCGGUGAAAUGCGUAGAGAUCUGGAGGAAUACCGGUGGCGAAGGCGGCCCCCUGGACAAAGACUGACGCUCAGGUGCGAAAGCGUGGGGAGCAAACA
rnacentral:rRNA from 1 species